ensembl:lncRNA
GGGGGGGGGGGGGGCGCCGCCGAGAGCUCGGCGCAGGCUCCGGACACUUUCUGGUUUACAAGACCCCGUGGCUUCCGCUUUCUUCCCCCGCCUUCCUUGUUCGUUUCAAAUGGGCCGUCCGCAGAGAUGCCUGAUCAAAAAGGGGCACAAACUCGCGCGGAGUCACUUGAGGACGCCACUGACUAAGGGACAAAAACGUCAUCGUCGCCUGGUACUGGAAAAGGGGCAAACAUCGGAGGCCGUUUUCGCCCGAAUCGUGGACGCGAGCCAGAAGUUUCAGGAAUUACAUCUUCUCCACUGAACACAGUUUUGAUGGGCAGACAGCUGUAGGUCCCUGCCACCUGCAUGGAACCUGGAGGGGACAGAGCCUUCCAGCUGUGAGCCAAUACAGCUGCAAGAUGGGUCUGGGGCCUGUGCCAAGUCAAGUCAGAAGAUUCUUCGGCUGCCGCCUCAUGAGGGAGUGAAGGUGGCUCCUCACAGCCCUAGCCAGGCACUCGGCAGUUGCCUGCAGGUCUACUGUGGUUUCUACCUAGUGAUUCUGUGGGCCUGUAAUAUCUUUCCAAUACCUACUUCCUUCCUCUUGAAUUAGCCAUUCCAUUCAUUUUCUUUUUUUUAUUUUUCUUUUUUUUUAAUUUUUAUUUAUUUAUGAUAGUCACACAGAGAGAGAAAGAGAGAGAGGCAGAGACAUAGGCAGAGGGAGAAGCAGGCUCCAUGCACCGGGAGCCCGACGUGGGAUUCGAUCCCAGGUCUCCAGGAUCACGCCCUGGGCCAAAGGCAGGGGCCAAACCGCUGCGCCACCCAGGGUCCCUCCAUUCAUUUUCUUAAGUAGCAAGAAAAAUAGAUAUUCACAGUAGAUAACAAUAGAAUAACAGAAAUGCGAUACACUGGAGUUAGAGUUCUCUCCCUAGGAAAACCACUGUUAAGUAUGAUAUGUAUCAAACUGACACAUAUUACAAACCUUUUUCUAGUCAUAUACAGAGAGAGAGGAACUAGAUUUCUAGAGAAAUUGGGGUUAUGGGAGAAGGGAUUAUUAUUCAAAAAAGGGAUCAUAUGAAAUAUACACUUAUAUACUUUUCCACUCAAUGACCUAGUAUAAACAUCCUUGUCAGUGCAUAGAGAGCUGUGUCAUUCCUUUUAAUGGCUGCAUAGAAUUCCACCGCACAAUUUAAUCCUAAUCUGUUGCCAGACAUGAACAUCGCCUCCAACUUUCUAGUAUUACAAAUAAUGAUGCAGUGAAUACCCUUAUACUUACAUGAUUUUGCAUACCAGUGAAAAUAUUUUUGUAGGUAAUGACUACAUAGAAAUCACUUCUGGAGCAAAGGACAUAUACAUUUAAAAUUUUUAUAAUAGGUACUGCCAAAUUGUCCUUCUGCAGCUACACCCACUUCCCAACAACAGGGAAGUGUUCAUCCCCCACAGUUAUGAAUAGUUUUUAAAGGUUUUUAGUAAUUUGAUAGAUGGAAAUAUCUUUCUCAUAUGGAUUUCCCUAUUGAUGAGGAUGCACAUCUUUCUCAAAAAUGUAUUAUCUAAUUUGCUUGUAGAUUUUUUCUUAUUGCUUGAUUUCUUCAUAUAUUAGAAAUAUGAACAUUUUAUCAGUUAUAUAUUGCAAUUAUUCUCUCAAAAUUACUGACUUGUCUUAAAUUUUCAGUGUCUUUGGCUGCAUAUACAUUCUUUAUAAUUUCAUUUUUUUCAAGAUUUAUUUUAGAAAGAGAGAGAGCAGGGUAAAGGGGCAGAGGGAGAGAGUCCUAAGCAGACUCUGCGGUGAGUGCAGAGCCCAACACAGGGCUCGAUCUCACAACCUGAGCUGAAACCAAGAGUCAAACACUCAGCCAACUGCGCCACCCAGGUGCCCCUACAUUCUUUGUAAGUUCUGUAAUUUUUCUCUUUAUGGCUUUUGGGUUCCUAACCACCCUCAAGAAAGUUCUCCCUGCCCCUAAGCUAUACAUGAACAUAUUUACAUACAUUUUCCCCCAGAGGCAGCAUGGUGUAAUGGUUAGUUGUAGAAGCAGAAAUUCUAGAGCUGCACUUCUUAGGUUCAAAUCCUAGCUCUGGCCAUUUGUCAGUUGCAGGACCCUGGUUCAUCUCUCUAUGCCUUUUCUCAUAGGUAACAUGGGGUUGUGGUGGUGGGGAUUGAGUUAAUAUAUGUAAAGCAUUUCGAAUAGUGCCUAGCAUAAAGAAAACUCCUUCAUUGUUUCAUUUUUUUACAUUUAGAUUUCUACCUUCUCUUUUGCAUGAUCUUCUCCUUGGGUGGAUAACCAGUUUCAUAAAAUAGUCUGACUUGAGGAAGCUACUCUAAUAAAAGACUGAGGAGCAGGCCA